rnacentral:rRNA from 1 species
GUAAUGUUGCGCUCGCUUCUCCGCUACCCCGACUGUUCCUCCCUUCCCUCCGUCUCCGCUCAGUUGAGGUCGGGCGGGCCAGUGGCCGGCCUCCCCUCUUACCGCCUCUGUCCUGGCUGGGUGGCCGAGGCGCGCGCGCGGCUCCGCCGCCACCGCAGGGACCACCUGCAGGCGGGGGUGCUCUACCGGGGCGACUGGUCGCGGCGGAGGUGGAAGAAGAAGUAGGACUCGCGGAUGAAGCACCACGACGGCGACGCCCUGCUCCCCCGGUAGAGCGACCCGGAGCCGCGGGAGGGCCCGGAGAAGCGGCCGAGCGAGCACGAGUGGCAGGAGCGCCGGGGGCAGCGGAGGGAGCGGAAGAGCGAGGGCAGGCAGGGGUUCAGGUCACGAAACCAAAACUAUGUGUCCAAGAAGUCGUAUAGGCAAGAACAUAAAAAACACGAAACCAAACGGAGCUUCGGCCCGAGGGGUAGAUGGCGGGUCAGUUCACUUCUACCAAGUUUAUUUGGACGACCGACCCCUUUGGUGUCGACCAAUAUGUAUCAACACUCUUAUUCGAAGAAAGAGACCCAACGAAACGAAUUAGAGUAAUGUUAUAGUAGGUGAACCCGUUCCCAUUAACUACAGUACCUGUCACUCCAAGUUCUAACAAACCAAAAUAGCCCCGACCACGAUGCGAUCCCGUUGAAAAACCAAGAAACAAACGACGUUCGUACCGUACCUACCCUGGGAAAGACGAGGAUAAAAGGAGGGAGAACUACCUUGAACGACGUGACAGUAGAUUUCCUUAAACGUAACUACGAUUAGUACCAAGUUGUCUUAACGGUAGUUGUCCUCGUCUUGGUUCAGUUUUAUGGCUCGAACCACUACUUUACAGAAGCGACCAGUGAAGUGGAUCUUGUGGAAGGGUUAGAGUUUUCUGUUUCGGACCCUAAAAACACUACAAACUUCCAAAGACCGACUAGUACGCGAGCAGAAUGGACUAUAUGUAUAGAGACAAAGAUACCGACUCACGUCAACAGAGUAGGAAGAAAAUGAAGGUCUUUCAUUGAUAUCAACGAUGAUGUUAUAGUUCGGGUUGACGGUCUUCCUCUUGUAAACGUGACUAUUUGUCGAAAUAUCGUCAAAAAUAAGAACGGCCUGUCGAGUGAAACUGCCCAGUAUAGGAAUGUCAUCGACCACAUUGCCAACGAUAAACGCGUAGAGGUAAAUAACGACGGAGUUUAAACCAACGGGAACGACAUACCGGUUGAACCAAACGACAACGACAGUGACUUUGUUAAGCUUUCCAUUGAUGGAUACAAAACUGAUCUGGCCCUUCCCUCAAUAAUAAAUGACAACAGAGUGUCCUACUCUUCAUGUUUCGGUUCCAGACAUAUCUACAAUAACAAGUUUCCGAACCACUACGCUGUCGACGACCUUAAAUGUGUAAUGAAAAGUCGUCGAAGCUCUUCUUUUAUAGGUAACAGUUGGAGAUACGUAACGGCGAGACGAAACAGACCGAAGAGUAACGUAAAGUAAACCCUGCCGAGGUCUGUUUAGAACGGUUCGAAGUCCGUCGAAGACUGGGCAGGAUCAAGGAGGGUUUGUACAUGGACCUUGGAUUUUUUAUCCAUAGCACCACGAAGAACUGUAGAUAGUUCUGUACACCGACUCAUUCCGACAAACACGGACCGAAAAUGAAAAGAUCCUAUAGCUGAGUUCUGUCACUUCAACAAGCUCUUACGUCUUCAUGUCAUACAGGACUUCUGUUACAAAAACGGUGGUCGUAACUAAAACAGACGUGUAAAGUUUCCUCGAUGUUUAACUGCUUGCCUGUAAGCUUAUAUUGUGACCUUCAUUUCAUUGAUGGGCUUCCCACUUGUAUCUCCUUCUGUAUUUAUCAUGAUCGUCCGAUCGUCGAAUCUCAUAUUCUUAUGUGCUUAAAACAUAGACGAAAAUCAGGUAGGAAAGUACCACCUUUUAACACAGUACGUUUGAAAUUCGUACAAUUAAGUAACAAAUACCCCUUUUCAUCCGUAACAAGACAACACGACGUAUUUUAUUACAUGACAGGUUAUGGUGAGGGUCUGACGUAUAGUAAACGUCUCUACACAUUAUGGCUGUUGGUAGACUACUUGGGCCUGAUGACUACGAUG